CUGGCAUCCUUUGUGUAACAAAUAGAAUUCUCUUUUUGGUGAAUCAUAUAUGGCAACAGACUCAUGGAAGAAACAUUCUAUGUGAACAAAUGGGUCUCAGGACUAUGGUAUCAGUGACCAUUACCUUUCAAAUGGUGUUCAUGUAUUACACAGGGAAACAGGUGUCAUUGAAAAACUUUGUCAAAGUUAUGGCUUUAUUGAGUGUGCUGAACAGGAUCUUCGAGUGUUCUUUCAUUACAGUCAGUACAAAGGACAUUCAAGUGAACUGGAACUUGGUGACUGUGUGGAGUUUGAAGUGACAUCAGAUUCUCGUAAGGGUAAACCAAUUGCAUGUCGAGUGGUGAAAUUGGAACAAGGCUCUGUUACAUUUGAAGAAAAAGCGAGGAAAGAGUUGUUGGUAAAGUGGAAGUUGAGGCGAGGUUGUCGAGACACAGCUACCCCAAACAGCAGUUAUUUCGCAAUGGCGAGUCCGAAUGUGGUCGCGUUAGUUAUGAAGUGAACGGAGAAUUGUUUUCUCUUCCACAUUAUCAAGCUGAUGUUUUAUCAAAGUCUCACAUCUACAAAGGUGAUACUGUGUCUUUUUACAUCCUGGAAAACAAAAGAAAUGGACAAUGCUGUGCCGUGGAGUUGUUGCUGCGCGAAGCUUUGCCUCCUGUUUACGUUCAACGAUUGUCUGCUCGCUCAAGGAAUCUUUUGGUUUCAUCGACAGAGCUGACAAAGUGAACGAGGUAAAGAAGUUGCAGUCUCAGUGGAGCGUCUACCAGAAGGUACAGUGAAAUUUGAUGAUGUGAGCAAAGACACAUUUCAAGGCACCAUCGAGAAAGUACAUUGUCGGACAAAAGACAGGAACCGUUAAAUGGUGUGAUAUUGUACAACACAAGCAAUGGUAGUUCACAGCUGCCAUAUUGGGAGAAAGAUGUCUUGGGGGAGUUCACCGUCUUGACUUGGGAUGUUGUUGGUUUUAAAAUUGCUACAGGAACAAGAAAUCAACUUUUCCGGUGAAGUGGAGAUCAGUGUAGUCGAGGAUCACGUGUCCGGAAGGCUGAAUGCGAUUCGUGUGAGAAUCUUACCACGGGAAACAUAACUCUCCAGGAAAAAAUCUCAAACCUCAGAGAUUGGAUGUUGUGUGUUCAUUAAAGUGUUAUAGCUGUACGUAUUGUAUAUGGGUCAAAUAAAGCGUCAUUUACACAUCGGAUUUUCGUAGCAUAUGAGAAUAUCUCCAUUUGAAGGUAACCAAACGUCACGCCUUGCGUUAUCGAGCAUUUUUGCUAACAUAAACAUAUCUGGAGAUACCCCCAACAUGGACGACUUUGAAAGAAUUUCCUCUUCUCACGAUUCAUACAAACUCUCCCUUAAUGAGAGCCUCAUUAUCAAUAGCUACAAGUCUUCACUUAUCGACAGUAUAGUAAAAAUACAGUAGAGCAAGUCCAUUGAAUUUUUUGUGCUACGUAUAUCUCAUUGCGCGUAUGAUUACUAUAUUGGAAGCUAGUAAAUUGACUUUUUUUGAGUAAUAGGAGUGCUGAGCUGGCUAACGGCAGUCUGUUAUCUAAUUAUAUGUACAGUAGAAAGUUUCUCACCAAAGUGGACCUUUGGUAUGUUUCCUUCACUAUGACUUAACAUCUGUCCAACGCAGUUCUAUUCAACUCUUUUAAUUUCAGUAUAUUUUGCUUCCUAACUUCGUAAUUUAUAUAAUCUAUUUGACACCGUCUCAUUUUGUAUUCUAACACCUUAUGUAAAUGUGAUUAUUUCUCAUAACAUCCUAUUAAGCAUGCAAUGCUACCCAACCUUCCGAUUUGUUAAAUACGGCCCUAUAAUGUAGCGGAUGUUGAGUUUUAUUUUAUGUUUUUCUACGUGUUUCUGUGCACCUGUUCACUUCAGAAUUGUUUUAUUAUUGAUGAGGAAUAUUUACUCUAAA